UAGGGGAUCUUCGGCAAUGGACGAAAGUCUGACCGAGCAACGCCGCGUGAGUGAAGAAGGUUUUCGGAUCGUAAAACUCUGUUGUUAGAGAAGAACAAGGACGUUAGUAACUGAACGUCCCCUGACGGUAUCUAACCAGAAAGCCACGGCUAACUACGUGCCAGCAGCCGCGGUAAUACGUAGGUGGCAAGCGUUGUCCGGAUUUAUUGGGCGUAAAGCGAGCGCAGGCGGUUUCUUAAGUCUGAUGUGAAAGCCCCCGGCUCAACCGGGGAGGGUCAUUGGAAACUGGGAGACUUGAGUGCAGAAGAGGAGAGUGGAAUUCCAUGUGUAGCGGUGAAAUGCGUAGAUAUAUGGAGGAACACCAGUGGCGAAGGCGGCUCUCUGGUCUGUAACUGACGCUGAGGCUCGAAAGCGUGGGGAGCAAACAGG
rnacentral:rRNA from 1 species